rnacentral:rRNA from 1 species
UACGGGGGGAGCAAGCGUUGUUCGGAUUUACUGGGCGUAAAGGGCGCGUAGGCGGCCACCGCAAGUCGGUUGUGAAAUCUCCGGGCUUAACCCGGAAAGGUCAAUCGAUACUGCGGGGCUAGAGUGCAGAAGGGGCAACUGGAAUUCUCGGUGUAGCGGUGAAAUGCGUAGAUAUCUGGAGGAACACCGGUGGCGAAGGCGGCAUCCUGGACCGGCAUUGACGCUGAGGCGCGAAAGCCAGGGGAGCAAACGGG